AGAGCGAACGCUGGCGGCAGGCCUAACACAUGCAAGUCGAACGGACUCUUCGGGGUUAGUGGCGGACGGGUGAGUAACACGUGGGAACGUGCCUUUAGGUUCGGAAUAGCUCCUGGAAACGGGUGGUAAUGCCGAAUGUGCCCUUCGGGGGAAAGAUUUAUCGCCUUUAGAGCGGCCCGCGUCUGAUUAGCUAGUUGGUGAGGUAAAGGCUCACCAAGGCUACGAUCAGUAGCUGGUCUGAGAGGAUGACCAGCCACAUUGGGACUGAGACACGGCCCAAAUCCUACGGGAGCAGCAGUGGGAAUCUGCGCAAUGGGCAAAGCCUGACGCAGCCAUGCCGCGUGAAUGAUGAAGGUCUAGAUUAGUAAAUUCUUCAGUAGGACGAUAAGUGACGUACCUACAGAAGAGCCCGCUAACUCG
rnacentral:rRNA from 1 species